rnacentral:rRNA from 1 species
CAGCAGCCGCGGUAAUACGUAGGUGGCAAGCGUUAAUCGGAAUUACUGGGCGUAAAGCGUGCGCAGGCGGUUCUAUAAGACAGAUGUGAAAUCCCCGGGCUCAACCUGGGAACUGCAUUUGUGACUGUAGAGCUGGAGUGCGGCAGAGGGGGAUGGAAUUCCGCGUGUAGCAGUGAAAUGCGUAGAUAUGCGGAGGAACACCGAUGGCGAAGGCAAUCCCCCGGGCCUGCACUGACGCUCAUGCACGAAAGCGUGGGGAGCAAACAGGAUUAGAUACCCCAGUAGUCCCUGUCUCUUAUAC